GGUCUUUCUUUUUAAACCAUUACCCCCUAUAUAAAGGGUGCUGGCUUGCCAGCUAUGACGAUAAACGCGCGUAUAAUAAGCAGGCUGGACCCGGGGGCGGUACCCGGCGGCUCCACCAUAACUUCCCGCAUUUGGGUGGUUUUGACGGGGCCGAAAUAGAAUCGACAGAUGUGUAAAACCGUUAGCUUUCGUCCGGAUUGGUACCGAUAAAUGCCUAAUUACAGUAGUUGCAAAUGACAACACAACUGAAGAGUUUGCUCUCGCCGCGUAAGCAGCGCGAACAUCUCGCUUUUAACUCCUAGCCCUUCAGACGGCUAGGCGGGCUUCGGGGGUAGCUGGCAACAGAAACCCCCACU
rnacentral:tmRNA from 1 species